GACGAACGCUGGCGGCGUGCCUAAUACAUGCAAGUUGAGCGCUGGAGGAUGGUACUUUUACCCACUGGAUGGGCAGCUAACGGGUGAGUAACGAGUGGGGAAUCUUCCUUUGAGCGGGGGACGACAUCGGGAGACGAAUUCUAAUAAUGCAUAAAACCUUUAACCACAGGAUGUAAGGUUGAAACAUACAUUUGCCGCACUCAAAGGUGGUCCCGCGUUUUGUUAGCUAGUUGGUGAGGGAAAGGCUCACCAAGGCGAUGAUACAUAGCCUACGUGAGCGGGUGAUCGGCCAAAAUGGGACUGAGACACGGCCCAAACCUCUUCGGGAGGCAGCAGUAGGGAAACUUCGGCAAUGGACGAAAGGCUGACCCAGCAACGCCGCGUGAGUGAAGAAGGGUUUCGGAUCGUAAAACUCUGUUUGUAGGGAAGAAAGUUGGUGAGAGUGGAAAGCUCAUCAAGUGACGGUAACUAACCAGAAAGGGACGGCUAACUACGUG
rnacentral:rRNA from 1 species